rnacentral:rRNA from 1 species
UACAGAGGGUGCGAGCGUUGUUCGGAAUUAUUGGGCGUAAAGGGCGCGUAGGCGGUGCGGUAAGUCACCUGUGAAAUCUCCUGGCUUAACUGGGAGCCUGCAGGCGAAACUACCGUGCUGGAGUGUGGGAGAGGUGCGUGGAAUUCCUGGUGUAGCGGUGAAAUGCGCAGAUAUCAGGAGGAACACCGAUGGCGAAGGCAGGUCUCUGGGCCACUACUGACGCUGAGAAGCGAAAGCGUGGGGAGCGAACAGG